AGGUUCCAAAGCGUGCACCUAUUAGCAAGACGGAUCAGAGAAGCACUGAUUAUUUGUACAUCGUUUAUUUAAACUGCCUGGGAGCAGCGCUGGAAUCGCAAUAAUUUCCCGCUCCCCGCGACCCUCAUCUCACACCAAGAACCCCUGGCUGCUCCAGGGAACACGGGGAUAAUGAAAUGCCUCCCAAAUACCUCCGCCUUUAACAAAUGCAGCGGGACUCUGAAGACAGCUUUGCAACCAGACCACGAGAACGGACAAAGAAAGGAGCACUCUUGAACUGUAACACUGCUAAAGAGAAAGAGAGCUGGAGCUGAGGAGAAGGGCAAAGCUCGCACCAGAGCCACACGGAGAGCACUCUGCACAAAGGAUGGCUGCACACAAUGAGACGUGGGAAGAGGUGACAGAUUGUGAUCUCAGUCUCUCUGAGACAGACGAAUGUGGGGUACAGUAACCUGGCUGGAGGAGUGUUUGCUUGCUCUCAUUUGUCUGCACAUCACCCCAUGAGCCAACUUUUGAAUUGACUGAAAGAAAGCAGCAUCGAGGCUUCCCCUUGCAUUACGAGUUGGACUCGGCAAUCCUUAUGGGUCCCUUCCAACUCAGUAUAUUCUCUAUGUCUGUGCACUCUUGACUUCCAAAGAAAUCUCACAAGUUUCCAGUGAUGGCAGAACUCACUUCGCUGCAUCGGUAUAUUUGCUUUACCUGGGGCUCCUCUGCAAUGUAGUCAUGACUGGGAAAGCUCCCAAACAAAAGCUGUGGGAUAAGUUGGACCUAAAGAAGAGUACCUGCAGUGGGACACAGCUGUAUGUGGAGUAAUGUCCUCGAGAUGUUAUCUGUAAACGUGAUGGUGCAGCCAGGGAGUCCGUCAACAUUCUUAACAUUCUGUUGCAGUUGGACUGAUGAAAAAUAAAGUAACAGUGCCUAGAUUGUACUUUUGAGCUUCUCAAAUCAGAGAUGCUCCUUACCUCUUCCAGUGUUCAGUUCAAUUGAACAAAGUCAAAUAUUCCAAAGCAAAAUAAUGAAGUCCCCAAAAUACCAAGUCUUCCCCCCAUCCACACACAAAAGGAUGCUUUCAUAGACUUGCAGAAUAUCCUGAGUUGGUAGAGACCAAUAAGGACCCCUUCCCAUAGCAUUCAGCAUAUUUCUGUGCAGGUUUUUUCUUCCUUCGGAAUGAAAACAAUGGGGUGACAGUGCCUAACAGGAAAAUGAAUGUUUCAGAGUGUUAGAUGAGACGCAGCAGGGCAUAUCAAUUGUGGCUGGGUAAGGAUCGUCAGUAAAGUUGCCUUAUUCAAGUGGCACGGUAAAUAAAUACUAUAAAUUCCUAAGUAGAGCCUAAAUCAGCUUUUGGCAUAGUGCAUCACUAUAACAAGUUAAUUUCGCUGCUCCGAGGAAUAGCCUUAUAUGGUUCACUUAAGUAAUCAUGCUAAAUGAAUGUUUAAGUGAGAACCAUUUGCCAAAUGCAAAGCAAGAACCAUAUAUAACCUCUUACACAACUACAUAACACAGCGAUGCUGGCUGGUUUCCAACAUUCUGGUUCAUGUACAAAUUAGAUCUGCUGACUCCAUCCAACACCUGAGCCAAAAAGGAGCUACCUGGAAAAUACUAGCACAACUGUUAAGGAUUAAUAAAUGAGCAUUUGCCCUGGUCUGUCCUCCUCACAGCCAGGCAAAUGAGAUUUUUCUUCUCUUUUCUGGUAUAGCAUAGAAUAGUUUCAGCGAUUGCCUUUACUCUCAUCUCUUUGCUGAGAAAGAAUAAAUAAAAAAGUAAUAAAAAAUGAAAGAGAAUACCAGUACGUCGAAAGCUUCUCCGGUUACCCCAAAAGAAAUUUGACCUUCUUCUACUCUGAUGCACCAUACUUCCAGCAUCCGUGCUGUUUCUGUGGUGCUUUUGUCUUACAGCCAUCAGGGGCCACACAAAAUGUACCCAGAGAAAGCAAUUGCACUGCAAUUGGUUUAAGCUUAUUACUGACUGUCCCCCGCCCUUGGAUCUCCCACCACCUGUAAAUGUGGAAAGUUAAGCUCAUAGGGAUAACUGAAAAAGUUCAGGAGGACCUGCCAAUGUCUAUUAGUCGUCAUUCAUCCUUUGUAGCAAGAAAACCUGCAAUAGAUGCAGGCUUACUUCUUUCUAGAGAGUGCUGUUGAGUUCUUGCAUUCACAAUAAAUCUGUUUGGAAGACUGCCCUU
ensembl:lncRNA